AUAGUACUCCCUUCGAUCCAUAUUACUUGUUUCAAAUUUGCCCAAAUAUGGAUGUAUCUAUGUUUAAAAAACAUCUAGAUACAUGUAAUAUUUUGACAAUUAAUAUGGAUCGAAGGGAGUAGUUU
rfam:Brachypodium distachyon strain Bd21 chromosome 4, whole genome shotgun sequence.